CUUACAGUUUGUCUGUAAAGAAUGCACCCGUUGGUCUCAUAUGGCUGCAAAGUCACUGAUCUGUCUACUGUGACAAAAUGUACUCUUUUUCUUUCAACUUCCCAUCUGGGGUGCUAGCAUGUGAGAUUGACUAAGCUCGUUCUCACAGGAGAGACGGCUUGACUUGAGUGUGACAAUCAUUUAACAAAAAAAAAUCAUAAUAUUCACAUUAACCUUAAUCAGGCCCGCAAUUUCAAGCUGAAAUCAUACUGCGUACUUGUGAAAAGCCAACACUUUGCUCAUACCGCUUGUACACAGGAAGCUAUAUUAGCAUUAACCCUUAACAAUCAUCUGUGCCAUUCUAUCAGUCGCUGUGUGCAAUUCCCAAGUAGAUGCCUUAAACUAUAUAUAAAGUUACCUGUUACACAUGUGCUACAAUCAACAAACCGACAAACGCUUGUGAGACCGGUCAAAUCAGAAUACAGGAAGUAUUUGGAAGUAGUCAAAUUUAUGCACUAGAUCUGUAUAAAUCCCAGGGAUAACUCUACCCAUUUGGGGGGAGUUAUUUUAUCGCUAUAGAGAGCCUUGUAUUUUAUCAUGUAAUAAGCUAUGGACUACAGAGGAAGGAUAUCUACUAUUUUCCUUGUACUCUGUAGGGCCAGAAGAAGAAGAACAAAAAUGGAGCCCUUGCAUAAGCACAUAGGCAUUGGUUAAUCGUCUUCCCCAAGUGUGUUGUGUCAAAUAUAUAACUCGUUCAUAAUAAAUAAUAUAAUAAAUAAUAAUAAAAGAUAAAAAGUCGUACAUAUAAGAAACAAAAACAAAAUCUCAGGCGUUACGGGGCAUUAAGAAUUCCAACGAUUACUCUCCCACUUUGUAUUACGAUAAACUACUUUUAGAACUCAAAUAGACACUAUCCACAUUGAUGUUUUGUUACCUGUUUUGUUACCUGCCAGAAAGUAUAUAAAACCAGCUGUUUUUACUGCAGUCAAUUACUGGACGUGGAUAUAUUUCCUAUGCAAAACUGUUUAAACAAUAAAAUGAGCUAUGCUACAAAAA
ensembl:lncRNA